UGAGGCAUGAACCUGGCAUACAAUGUAGAUUUCUGUGUUUGUUAAGCAACAGCUACAUUGUCUGCUGGGUUUCAGGCUACCUGG
rnacentral:pre_miRNA from 1 species